ACUAUGCAGAUGGGAGAAUUUCAUUUGGAUUCAUUUUAUUUGGCAUAUUGCCAUUUAUAACCGACUCCACGUAGUCUUGUUUGCCCUACCCCUGGAGUGUAAUUCAAAACCGCGUAGGCGCGGAGGGAUGAGCCGGCCAGCAAGCCGAAACUGCGGUGGUGAGCGUGAAAACCAUCUGCGAUGAUAAGCUCGCGUGGAAACGCCGGAGCCCCGUAGCGCCGGAGCCGUGACAGAAACCAUGCUUGCUGCAUGUUGCAUGUAUGUUUCCAUGCUGCAUGCCUUCUUGCAUGCUUCGCUUCAAUCAGGUAACGUUGCGCCCGAUCGGAUAAUGCAAUACCCUCGCUUCGGUACCUCCCUCCCACUUACCCCUUGAUAUCUUAAAUAUACAUUUCCGAUUACUAUUUAGGAAAUGUGUAUAAUGUAAUUUAUUUUACACAUUUCCGGGCGGUUUGAGGAAAUUCACAGAUUUCCUAGAAAUUGUACCUAUACAAUGACGGAUUACAUACAUAUACCUACGUUAACAUGUACAAAAAUCUACGUAGACAUCGCAUGACCACGCAGGGUCUCUUUUAUUCUUAUUUCCCCUUCGCAGGAAUGCAGAAAGAUAUUUUUUAGAAAUACCUUACCUUAUUAAAUUCUUUCUUUCCUGUCGUCUUUCUUUAUAUGCGUGUGUACAAAAAUUCGUAAAUAAAUAAAAUUAAUAAGUAUAUAUAGGUACCUCUACCUAGUCAUCUGUGGCAUGACACCUAGACGCAAGUGUGGUAAACAGCAUAGCACACAAUUGGUAACGCGACCAAGUAGGUUGCUUCAUUAAGCUAGUUAACGACUGAAGUAGGUAGUCGUCGGAUGAUCGCUGCGACGAGGAUGACUAAAUAAGCAUCACAACGAGGUAAUUUGUGAGUCGGCGCUAGUUACGAACAUAAGAUGAGGUGUGAGCUGAUUUCGUCCACGCGCCCGAGCCGCGAGCGCGGUGACGCGUACGCGAGAGGCGCGCCGCUCUUCGCUUUGUGACGGAACAUUGUGCAUUGUCGCGGAGCAAGCGCAUGGGCGCGGCGGCCGCCCACCCGUCCGUGCCGAGCUCGCACAUCUCAUUAGCCAACACACUAAUCACCCCAUCAUCGUUAAAACAGCAAUGAGGACUAAUCUAUAUGUAUUAACAAACGGGGCUCUUAGGUACCUACACCCGUCGCGAGAUUAAGUACCAAGCCAAUUUUAAACGUCACAAAAACGGGAUUCCAAAAAUAUCAGGAUACUUACCUAAUGCUCCAUACUUACCUAAGUUGGAGCUGUAAUUAUUGUGCAGAGUGAGAGUAGCUUAAACAGCGUAAAGUUCUCCGCACACAAAGUCACUACAGAGGUAGUACCAUCUUGAGCUACUACAGUGGCUACCUAGUAUACAUAUACCUAGGUACUUAAUUAGUAUCAGCCGCACGGGUCGAUCGAUGCUGAUGAUGAUGGAUAGGUCAACAUCUUCCAAGCCUUUUCCCAACUAUGUUGGAGUCGGCUUCCAGUCAAACCGGAUGCAGCUCAGUACGAGUAAGAGAUAGGGAGCGACUGUCUAUCUGACCUCCUCAACCCAGUUACCCGUAACGACUGUCAAGGAUGUUCAAUGACAGCCGGGACCUACAGUUUAACUUAAAAAAAGUCGAAUCGAACCCAGACACUCGUAUUUGAGAGGUUGGUUCUUGACCCAUAAGGGACCGGAUUCUGCUAAGUUAAUAAUGUCAAAAUGUAAUAAAAAUUUAAUCGCAAUAGUAGUUUUAACCUUAGCGGGCAUUCUGCUACUAAUUUAGGACCAAUCGUAUUCCAAAAUUCCAAUGAUAUAUCAUUGGUUUGCGAUAUUGGUCUGCCAUUUGGUCUAUACUAUAGUGUAGUUUGCUCUACAAUCAAAUUGUGGACAAUAUGAUUUAUUAUUGAAUCACAGAAAAGGAAUAAACGUUUAUUUAAAAGAAAAAAUAGCGGAUUGCCACAUACGCUUCAAUCCUAAUCGAGUCGUGAUUGGAUCUCAGUCGGAUGUGAAUCGUAGAGGGCUAUCACAAAUUAGCAGAAUCGAGCCCCAGGCCACCACGACUAACGUCCUGCGCCUUCCUUGGUCGUAGGAUAGAUGACCAUCUAUAAUAAUCUAUAAUAUUAUAAAGAGGAAAACUUUGUUUGUUUGUUUGCUAGUAAUGGAUAAACUCAAAAACUACUGGACGGAUUUAAAAUAUUCGUUCACCAUUAGAAAGCUAUAUUAUAUUAUUAGUCGACCUCUAUGGCGCAAUGGUCACCAAGCCGGACUGCCGAAUCUGAGGUCCCGGGUUCGAUUCCCGGUUCGGUCGACAUUUGUGUGAUGAGCAUGCUUGUUGGCCGUGGUCUGGGUGUUACAAUAUGUAUUUAUAAAUAUGUAUAUGUGUAGCUAUAUGUAGUUUAUCAGUUGUGUUAGCACCCAUAACACAAGUUAAUUAAUAACUUACCAUGGGGCUAACCGACCGUGUGUGAAAAGGUGUCCCGACAUUAUU
rnacentral:lncRNA from 1 species